rnacentral:lncRNA from 1 species
AGAAUAAUAAACAGCAGGUAAAUGAGGUCUCUAUGUAAAUGAGGAAUCACUGUGUAAUUAUGGUCCUUCCAUUUGCAGGUUUUGCUUCUGGAAAAUAAGAUUCAGGACCCUGCCCAGUUUCCACUCAUCCUUUAUAGGGGGAUGUUCGUGAUCACCACCCUGUGCAUAAGCCUCAGGCCUUGGCUACCUCAAGUUUGGGGUCACCACCCAGGCAAGCAUCACCCUCAACCUCCCCAACUGUUGGCAGAUACAGGAAGCGUCAAGUGAUGAGCUACAGCUGAGCGCUGUCUACCUGGGGGCCAGGAUUGGUGCAAGGAUCCCGUGAGGUGAGGUUAUGGAGGUGCUUUAUAAACUCUAAAACUGUGAUUGGGUGCUAAUUGCUUUUAAUUUACCAGGCCCACCAGGAAGUCUGUGUGGACCCAUACUGCUCUGGCCAAAAUGCUUCUGGUCCAGGAAAUACUCCUGCUUCUCUCACAUCUUUCAUAUCACUGGUGAUGACAAUGUGGGUCACAGAACUCACUUACAUGGAGAAGCCAUCUAGCUGAGUCCUAAUGAAAUGCUUAAGAAUGUGGUUUGUGAAGUGAGUCAGACCUGGGUCUAAGUCCACGCUCCCGACUUGCUAGCUGCAUGACAUUGGGAAUAUCUCUUCCCCUCUCGAUGGCUCAGCUUCCUCACCUGUAAAUGGGAUGAUAAUAGUAC